rnacentral:misc_RNA from 1 species
CAGAGUUGCAAAACUCCCUAAACCAUUGUGAACCUACCACUAAACAGUGCUUCGGCGGGUGGCGCGAGGGCCCCUUCACGGGGCAGGAGCGCCCUAGACAGCCCGCCGGAGGUACUCAAACUCUUUGUUUACCACAGGCCUCUCUGAGUAUUGUACUUAAAUAAGUC